rnacentral:misc_RNA from 1 species
AAAUGCGAUAAGUAGUGUGAAUUGCAGAAUUCAGUGAAUCAUCGAAUCUUUGAACGCACAUUGCGCCCCUUGGUAUUCCAUGGGGCAUGCCUGUUCGAGCGUCAUUUGUACCCUCAAGCUCUGCUUGGUGUUGGGUGUUUGUCCCCGUCUCCGCGCGUGGACUCGCCCCAAAGUGAUUGGCAGCCGGCGCACUGGUCCCGGAGCGCAGCACACGUCGCGCAAACGAGUGCCUUGGUACGGCGGCGUCCAUAAGCCCCUCUCUCACGCUCUUGACCUCGGAUCAGGUAGGGAUACCCGCUGAACUUAAGC